UUUACUAUCAGACACUCAAGACAAAGAAAUACAACUUAAUUCCAUUUUAAUUAUGUAGUGCCGAAUCACAACAGAAGUUAUCUCAAGGCAUUUUUCAUAUAGAGCCGGUGUAGACCGUACUCUUUAUAUUAUUACAUUUACAACAGGAGACCCAACAGUUCCCACCAUGAGCAGCACUAGGUGACAACUGAGUGGAGAAACUGGGUCCUGUCAGUGAUCAGUAAUGGUGCUGCAGCAUUUUGGAUCAACUGCAGAGUCUUCAGAGACUUGUUGGGGCAGCCUGAUAAUAAUGAAUUACAAUAGUCCAGCCUGGAAGUGAUUUUGCAUCAAUGCUAAUAAAACAACAUGAGCGUUUACCUUAAAGACUUCUUCAAUUAUAAUUUACAAAUUAUUCUAAUCUUCCUCCUCCUACUUUUUGAUAGUUUAGGUCAAAUAAGGUUACAAUGCAACUGUGAGAGGGUUGGUCAUGGUCUCUCUGUCCUCUAUAAAAAUAAAAUCACUUCCUCCUGACAGUGUUCACUACAGCUACACCUUCCCCUGAACACAAGAAGACUGACGACUUCAAUCCUUCAGACACCUGUCACCACCAGAGCAGAUCAGAACCUGUUGGCAGCAGCAGUGAAGAUGACUGGAUUCUCCUGGACGGCUCUGACUUUGUCUUUGUUGCUGUUUGCUGGAAACAGUUUUGCUGUGGACCAGAAUGAACUCGCCAAAAUUGUAGAUGCGAUCUGGGAGAAGUUCAAUGCCAGGAGGAUGUUCAGUAUGGCAGUGAGCAUCCCAGAGAAGGAGAACAAGCCAGGAAGUUAUGAUUUCAACCAAAUCCUCACCACUGAGAACGAAUCCAAACAUGUCCACUACUGAGGCGCAGAGAGCUGAAGCCCUUCAAAACCUUGUGAGUAAAUCAGGUCUCGAACUUGAGAACAUAUUCCGUUGUAAAAAGCCAGAUGAUCAAACAAAUAAUCCAAUGCAGUGCACCAGCUGCUCAACUAAUGGACAAGUUACACCUUAUUGUGUCUCAGAUGAUAUACAACCUAGGCGCAACACCAGCCCAUCCAUAGCAGCCAUUAACAGCAGGGGAAGAAGCAACAGAAGAAGCAACCAAAGAAGCAAUCGAAGAAGCAACCAAAGAAGCAACCAAAGAAGCAACCAAAGAAGCAAUCGAAGAAGCAACCAAAGAAGCAACCAAAGAGGAAACCUAAGAAGCAACCAAAGAAGCAACCAAAGAGGAAACCUAAGAAGCAACCAAAGAAGCAAUCAAAGAAGCAACAGAAGAAGCAACCAAAGAGGAAACCUAAGAAGCAACCAAAGAAGCAAUCAAAGAAGCAACCAAAGAGGAAACCUAAGAAGCAACCAAAGAAGCAACCAAAGAGGAAACCUAAGAAGCAACCAAAGAAGCAAUCGAAGAAGCAAUCAAAGAAGCAAUCAAACAAGCAACCAAAGAGGAAACCUAAGAAGCAACCAAAAAAUCAAUCAAAGAAUCAACCUAAGAAUCAACCUAAGCAGCAACCAAAAAAGCAAUCAAAGAAGCAAUCAAAGAAGCAAUCGAAGAAGAAGGGGCCGUGGUUAGGGUAGCAGAUAGGUACAGGGUCUUGAAACUGCCAUGAUAUGAUUUAGGUCAAACAGAUUUGCAGGGACUUGCAGGUUACAGGUUAGUGGCUUUGGUGGCUCAAGCUACUGCCCAUUCUGUUUGGCUAAAGCUCCACUCCUCUCCUCCCUAAGAAAUAGAAUAACUAGAAUUACGGCCUCCACCAACCAGAGCAGAGGCAGGAAAUAUGGUCACAAUCUCCCCUUUUAUUCCAAAAUAAUGACCAGAAAAGUGCUUUUGUAGAACAUUAUGAUGCCUCAGUGAGGUUCACUUUUGACCCAUUGGAUGUAAAAUGUCAUCACUUAAUCAUUUUGUCCUAUUAGACAUUUGUGUGAAAUUUUGUCAUAAUUAGCGUGUGAAUUCUUGAGUCAUUCUUGACUCAAGAAUUCACCUAACAUUCAUAUCAUUUUAUUGUUUUUGUUUCCAAUUCAUUUAAUAUUUUCUCUCUGAAACAGAGAAAAGACAGAUGUAUAUUAUCAAACCACCACAAUAAAAGCUUCCUUCUGCUUCAAA